rnacentral:rRNA from 1 species
UACCCGCAGCCCGAGUGGUGGUCGAUAUUAUUGAGUCUAAAACGUUCGUAGCCGGUUCUGUAAAUCCUUGGGUAAAUCGGUAAGCUUAACUUACCGACUUCCGAGGAGACUGCAGAACUUGGGACCGGGAGAGGCAAGAGGUACUUCUGGGGUAGGGGUAAAAUCCUGUAAUCCUAGAAGGACCACCGGUGGCGAAGGCGUCUUGCUAGAACGGAUCCGACGGUGAGGGACGAAGCCCUGGGGCGCAAAC